rnacentral:lncRNA from 1 species
GGACUGUUUUUUGAGAGUACUCUUGAAUUGCUAGCAUCUUUACUCUCAAGGAUCAGACAUGACCCCAAAAAUCCCUCUGUCGGUGCCCGGCUCCCCAAAGAAGCUCACAGGACUAACAUAGACAUAGCAUGGUGUCUGGUCCACAGAGAGCUCACAUGGACUUUCCUACAGGUACUCGUCCGGCUCUCAAAGGACUUAGACAAGACUCAAUGACAGAUAUGGGCUAUUGGAGUCGCCUUG